rnacentral:rRNA from 1 species
UACGAAGGGGGCUAGCGUUGCUCGGAAUCACUGGGCGUAAAGCGCACGUAGGCGGACUCUUAAGUCGGUGGUGAAAUCCUGGAGCUCAACUCCAGAACUGCCUUCGAUACUGAGAGUCUCGAGUCCGAGAGAGGUGAGUGGAACUGCGAGUGUAGAGGUGAAAUUCGUAGAUAUUCGCAAGAACACCAGUGGCGAAGGCGGCUCACUGGCUCGGUACUGACGCUGAGGUGCGAAAGCGUGGGGAGCAA